GUGAGUACAGACAGUGGAAGCAAGGACGUGUCAUCUGGAAAAAAUACAGGGAUGCUGCCUGGAUUUGCAGGUAUGGUAUUAGGAAAGCAAAGACACAGAUGGAGCUGAGCUUGGCAAGGGAUGUAAACAUUAACAAGAAGGGACUGUACAGGUACACUGGUGAGAAGAGACAGGCCAAAGUGAGCACAUCUCCUCUGAUAAAUGAGAAAGGAGAAAUGGCUACAACAAAGAUGGAGAAUGCUGAAGUACUCAACAAGUUCUUUGCCUCAGACUUUACUGAAAGUCAGGCUUCUUGUGUCAGUUUCUUGAACUAAACGUUUCUAAACCUCUAGGUGAUGGCUGGCUACAAAGUGCCUUAAUUAUAUCAAGACAGAAAUGAAUAGUCCAUGAUUUAGCAACUGCAGUACAACUAGGAGAAAUGACCAUUACAGAAGGGAAUGCAGAUGAACAUGGCUGAACUCAGUGCUGCAGUUUACAGAAGUAUCUGCUCACAGCACAGAAUGACACAUGGCUUGUCCUACAUCACAGACAACACUAAGCAGUGUAUGGGAACAGUAGACAAGGAAAAGAAUUGUAGAAUCAUUGAAUCGCCAAAGCUGAAAAAGAUCUCCAAGACCAUCCAGUCCAACUUUCCACCUACCACCAGUAUUUCCCACUAAACCAUGUCCAUCAAUACAACAUCCAAAUGUUUCUUGAACACUUCCAGGGACAGUGACCUAACCACCUCCUUGGGCAGCCCAUUUCAGUGCCUAACCACUCCUUUGGAGAAUAAAUUUUUCCUAUUAUCCAACCUGAACCUCCCUUGGCACAAAAGAACAAAUAACAAGUGGUUUGGUUUUUCUGUCACAGGUUGUUGGUGUGGUUAAUAUUCUCUGCUUCAGUACUCUGCAUUUACAACUCUUUUGCAAUGAGGUCACACUGACAAGCCACAAACACUGCUUGUUCCUUUUAAGAAAUAGUGAUUGCUAGACGCAAAUGAAUUCAGGGAUGGCUGAGAGGUGAUCUUGCAAGACUUCAAAAUAUCAAAGUGUGUCAUUCUGAUAUGCCUGAUAAAAGUGUUAUUUAAAUAUCCAUGGAAACCAACCUUCACAUUCAACUCAGGGGCUUUGGUCAUAAAUAAAAUACUGGACUGUGAAGGGAUUUCAAAGAUAUACCUUGUCUUUUUGAUCUCUGCAGUUAAUUCUUUCUCUCAACUUGGUCCUUAGAAAGGCGAUUGAAAGUGCAGCUAAGCUAAACGUUCCGUGGGAGUGCUCUGAUCUGUUUACUGCUUUGAUGUUCUCUGUAGGCUACUGCUUCCUGUGAACCAGGAUUCCAUGGCAAAAUAUAUGUGAUUCUCCAUCUCUUUUUUUAAAAGAUUUAAUAUGCAUUUCUCUCUGCUUGUAUCUAUAUUUGCACAUGACGGGUGAGAAGCAGACACAUGGUCCUUUAUUUCCAGAGAGGUGUUCAAAAAAAGACACCAAAAUCUGUCAGAUAUCUUCAAAGCAAGUUUGGAAUUCUGUGUUACCUUUAUCAGGAUCCUCCCCAAUUUUUUAGUUGUAUAAACAGUAUUUAAGCCUUGAUGACCAUUUAACUAAAUUAAGCAAACAAACAAACAAACAAACACAGAAUUGUUGGUAUUACAUUUGAAUUGAAGGACACAAACAAUGCAUAUUCUUUCUUAGCUGAUUUUGAACCAGAAUAUUUGAACCAGAUUUUGAACCAGAUUAUUUUCCUGCCAGUGGAUAAAAGUUACAGUAUUACUUAGAACAGCCUUUUUAACAUCAUCAUUAUAAAAAUGUUACCUUUAUAACUUGUUUAUCAAUUGACUAUUUUGUAAAACUGCAGUUGGCUUAUCUGAUUGGUAAUGCUAAAAUAUCCUUCCAAUGUUUUAAAUUUUCAACAAAAAUAUCUCGGGAUGGUACGAUUCUAUGUAGUUAUGCAGUGUUUUGAGAAAAUCUUUCUUAUUUGGAUGUUACUGCUUAGCUUCAUAAUUAUACGAAACCUCAUAUCAGUGUUUUCAAAGUAUUUGUCCCCCCCCCUUUUUUUUUUUUUUAAUCUUAAUCAUAACUUUCAGGUUUCUUAGAGGACUGGUUUCAUAAUACAUUCCUAAAUUUUUUGCUCUUUCUUCAAUAUUUUGCUGAUUUGUUUUCAUGUUUUAUAUACCAUCUAUGAUAUACAGGAUAUUAGCUAAUUUCUUGACAAUGUAAAAGGGGUGGUAUCCCUUUCAUUAGCUGUUCUUUUUAUAGAAGACAUGCAGAAGAAAAAAAAAAUUACCACUGAACUGGAAUAACUGAGGUGAAAUUGCUAAUCAGAAACGCUGUUACUUGUAUGUGAGAGUUUCAAAGCACUUUUAAGUGCAAGUUCAUUGAGCCUACUCACACUUUUUGAGGUAAAGAGGUAAUUAAUAUUAUCCCCUUCAUCGCAGGUCUCAGCUUUGAACAGUCCAAGGUCUCUUCUGGGCAGUAAAAUGAAGCAGUAAACAACUCUGUGCUUUCUAACUGAAUGGGAACAAUGCUUUCUUUGAAGAUGUGAUUCUGCUGACCUUAUUAAAAAUACAGUGCAUGAACUACCUUGAAGUAAGCAAAAAAGUUCUCAGAAGACAACCAGAUGAAAUAAAUUCUUGCUGACCUCAGUUCUUGAGAGCUUU
ensembl:lncRNA